rnacentral:rRNA from 1 species
UGGGGAAUAUUGCACAAUGGGCGCAAGCCUGAUGCAGCGACGCCGCGUGAGGGAUGAAGGCCUUCGGGUUGUAAACCUUUUUCGCUCAUGGUCAAGCCGCAGCUUUGGGUUGUGGUGAGGGUAGUGGGUAAAGAAGCGCCGGCUAACUACGUGCCAGCAGCCGCGGUAAUACGUAGGGCGCGAGCGUUGUCCGGAAUUAUUGGGCGUAAAGGGCUUGUAGGCGGUUGGCCGCGUCUGCCGUGAAAUCCUCUGGCUUAACUGGGGGCGUGCGGUGGGUACGGGUUGACUUGAGUGCGGUAGGGGAGACUGGAAUUCCUGGUGUAGCGGUGGAAUGCGCAGAUAUCAGGAGGAACACCGGUGGCGAAGGCGGGUCUCUGGGCCGUUACUGACGCUGAGGAGCGAAAGCGUGGGGAGCGAACAGG